AUGCAUUGUUUUGAAGAAAUUUAUUGUCCCCAUGAAAACCUAUUCAAUUCAGAAAGAUAUGUUGAUUUCAAUGAAAAUCUAUUUGUUUUAAGAGACAGACAGAAGUUGCAUUCAGCUGAGAGCCGGAGGCUUCUCUCGGUACAAAUCGCCCUGCAAUCCUGCCAUAUUUGGGAUGGAGAAAGGAAGACGAUCUGCAACCAGACCACAGAGGCAGCUCAGAGACCCAGUGACUCCCACUGCUGCCCCAGGCAUGCUGUGGGUCCCUGUUUGACCGAAGCAGCUGAACACGUGUGACUGAAGUGCUCCUUCCAUGCACUGUCGGACCAUGGAUACCAGCAGCUCCCAGAGAGGUGGAGGACAGCCACUGGGAUCUCUCUCAUUACCUGUGGCUGUCCCUACCUGAGCAACCCCUUGGGUCUUCCAGCAGCAUUAAGGACACCACAAGAAACUGCGUCAGCCCCUCGAGGUACGUGUUUUGUCCCUUCAGUCUGUAUUGUGGUGCUUUCUGUGCUGCUGCCGUGGCUGUAUGGAAACCACACGGCUGCCCCUUGUUUUCCUUGCUCAUGAGAUGCUGGCUGUCCUAAGGUGGCACAUCUUGGGUGCACAAGGGUCUGCUUGGGCAGGGGGAAGCCCAGCAGAACUGUCUUCAUGUGCUGGAGCACUCUUGAAGUACCAUGUGGGUAUUUUCACAUUUGACUCUAGCUGAGGCGACCACUAAUAACGUGGAGGGAGAGUAAGAAGACACAGGACCUGACCUUCCCACUCUGCAGACACCUCUUCAAGACCCUGAUGUUCUUUUUUAGGGAGUCCUAGGCACCCAGAGCACUUUUUGUUGGAAAGCAUCUUGAACCGGGUACCAACACCCAGACCCUGAAAAAUGCCUUGCCAUUUGACUCACCUUAGCAAAGUCGCUGAUGUUGUGGGGUUGUCACUUUGCUCUGUCAUCGGACAAAGCCAGUGGCUGCCCCAUCACCAUUGAAUGCCAGAAGAGGAGCUGGUGUAGGAAAUGGUCAGUCGCUUGCAACAAGCAAAAAUCCUUCUCCUGUCUUACAGCAGAGACAUCCCUGCGCUGGCCAAUCCCAGGUCCUGCUGUAGAGUUUGCAGGGGAUGAUUUCUGGAGAUCUGUGGCCUGUUUUUUCAGCAUCUUAUAAACAGGGAAAAG
rnacentral:lncRNA from 1 species